UGGGGAAUCUUCCGCAAUGGACGAAAGUCUGACGGAGCAACGCCGCGUGAGUGAAGAAGGUUUUCGGAUCGUAAAACUCUGUCUUUUGGGGCGAACGUGAGUAUGGUGAACAAUCAUAGUCAGUGACGGUACCAAAGGAGGAAGCCACGGCUAACUACGUGCCAGCAGCCGCGGUAAUACGUAGGUGGCAAGCGUUGUCCGGAAUUAUUGGGCGUAAAGAGCGCGUAGGCGGGAUAGUCAGUCUGUUGUAAAAGUGCGGGGCUCAACCCCGUGAUGGCAAUGGAAACAGCUAUUCUUGAGUGCAGGAGAGGAAAGUGGAAUUCCCAGUGUAGCGGUGAAAUGCGUAGAUAUUGGGAGGAACACCAGUGGCGAAGGCGACUUUCUGGACUGUGUCUGACGCUGAGGCGCGAAAGCCAGGGGAGCGAACGGGAUUAGAUACCCCGGUAGUCCUGGCCGUAAACGAUGGGUACUAGGUGUGGGAGGUAUCGACCCCUUCCGUGCCGGAGUUAACGCAAUAAGUACCCCGCCUGGGGAGUACGGUCGCAAGACUGAAACUCAAAUGAAUUGACGGGGUCAUAGCUGUUU
rnacentral:rRNA from 1 species